AGGCGUGGGAUUGUUGCACAGAGCAGGUAGCUUAACCUUCGGGAGGGCGCUUUGGCCACGGUUGUGGCCCGAUGAACUGGGGUGGAAGUCGUAACCAAGGUUAGCCGUUAUCGGAAAGGUGCGGCU
rnacentral:rRNA from 1 species